AUUGAACGCUGGCGGCAUGCCUUACACAUGCAAGUCGAACGGCAGCACGGGUGCUUGCACCUGGUGGCGAGUGGCGAACGGGUGAGUAAUACAUCGGAACAUGUCCUGUAGUGGGGGAUAGCCCGGCGAAAGCCGGAUUAAUACCGCAUACGAUCUACGGAUGAAAGCGGGGGACCUUCGGGCCUCGCGCUAUAGGGUUGGCCGAUGGCUGAUUAGCUAGUUGGUGGGGUAAAGGCCUACCAAGGCGACGAUCAGUAGCUGGUCUGAGAGGACGACC
rnacentral:rRNA from 1 species